AUGGCAACACUGUUACAACCACAGUUGGAAAUGGUUCCGUACCACCAUCCAUAUUGGUCCUAUCUAAGAGACAGUUCAGUGAUCACAAACUGUGGUCCUGGAGAGAUACAUUUCAGUAUGUGCAGGACUGUGUUCCAUUUCAGUAUGUGCAGGACUGUGUUCCAUUUCAGUAUGUGCAGGACUGUGUUCCAUUUCAGUAUGUGCAGGACUGUGUUCCAUUUCAGUAUGUGCAGGACUGUGUUCCAUUUUAGUAUGUGCAGGACUGUGUUCCAUUUCAGUAUGUGCAGGACUGUGUUCCAUUUCAGUAUGUGCAGGACUGUGUUCCAUUUCAGUAUGUGCAGGACUGUGUUCCAUUUCAGUAUGUGCAGGACUGUGUUCCAUUUUAGUAUGUGCAGGACUGUGUUCCAUUUCAGUAUGUGCAGGACUGUGUUCCAUUUCAGUAUGUGCAGGACUGUGUUCCAUUUCAGUAUGUGCAGGACUGUGUUCCAUUUCAGUAUGUGCAGGACUGUGUUACAUUUCAGUAUGUGCAGGACCGUGUUCCAUUUCAGUAUGUGCAGGACUGUGUUCGAUUUCAGUAUGUGCAGGACUGUGUUCCAUUUCAGUAUGUGCAGGACUGUGUUCCAUUUCAGUAUGUGCAGGACUGUGUUCCAUUUUAGUAUGUGCAGGACUGUGUUCCAUUUCAGUAUGUGCAGGACUGUGUUACAUUUCAGUAUGUGCAGGACUGUGUUCCAUUUCAGUAUGUGCAGGACUGUGUUCCAUUUCAGUAUGUGCAGGACUGUGUUCCAUUUCAGUAUGUGCAGGACUGUGUUCCAUUUCAAUAUGUGCAGGACUGUGUUCCAUUUCAGUAUGUGCAGGACUGUGUUCCAUUUCAAUAUGUGCAGGACUGUGUUCCAUUUCAGUAUGUGCAGGACUGUGUUCCAUUUCAGUAUGUGCAGGACUGUGUUCCAUUUCAGUAUGUGCAGGGCUGUGUUCCAUUUCAGUAUGUGCAGGACUGUGUUCCAUUUCAGUAUGUGCAGGACUGUGUUCCAUUCCAGUAUGUGCAGGACUGUGUUCCAUUUCAGCACUAACAUGGCCUGA
rnacentral:lncRNA from 1 species